rnacentral:rRNA from 1 species
CACGUAGGGUGCGAGCGUUGUCCGGAAUUAUUGGGCGUAAAGAGCUCGUAGGCGGUCUGUUGCGUCUGCUGUGAAAACUCGGGGCUUAACCCCGAGCCUGCAGUGGAUACGGGCAGACUAGAGGUAGGUAGGGGAGAAUGGAAUUCCCGGUGUAGCGGUGAAAUGCGCAGAUAUCGGGAGGAACACCGGUGGCGAAGGCGGUUCUCUGGGCCGAUACUGACGCUGAGGAGCGAAAGCGUGGGGAGCGAACAGG